GCAUUUUGGACCAUGGGGGCAACCCUGAUCCAGCCAUCGCGCGUGUGCGAUGAAGGCCUUCGGGUUGUAAAGCACUUUUGGCAGGGACGCAACGGCUCUGGCUAAUACCUGGAGCUGCUGACGGUACCUGCAUAAUAAGCACCGGCUACCUACGUACCAGCAGCCGCGGUAAUACGGAGGGUGCAAGCGUUAAUCGGGAGUACUGGGGGUAAAGCGUGCGCAGGCGGUUCGGCAAGAAGGAUGUGAAAUCCCAGGGCUUAACCUUGGAACUGCAUUCUUAACUGCCGGGCUAGAGUAUGUCAGAGGGGGGUAGAAUUCCGCGUGUAGCAGUGAAAUGCGUAGAGAUGCGGAGGAAUACCGAUGGCGAAGGCAGCCCCCUGGGAUAAUACUGACGCUCAUGCACGAAAGCGUGGGGAGCAAAC
rnacentral:rRNA from 1 species